GAUGAACGCUGGCGGCGUGCCUAAUACAUGCAAGUCGAGCGAACGGACGAGAAGCUUGCUUCUCUGAUGUUAGCGGCGGACGGGUGAGUAACACGUGGAUAACCUACCUAUAAGACUGGGAUAACUUCGGGAAACCGGAGCUAAUACCGGAUAAUAUUUUGAACCGCAUGGUUCAAAAGUGAAAGACGGUCUUGCUGUCACUUAUAGAUGGAUCCGCGCUGCAUUAGCUAGUUGGUAAGGUAACGGCUUACCAAGGCAACGAUGCAUAGCCGACCUGAGAGGGUGAUCGGCCACACUGGAACUGAGACACGGUCCAGACUCCUACGGGAGGCAGCAGUAGGGAAUCUUCCGCAAUGGGCGAAAGCCUGACGGAGCAACGCCGCGUGAGUGAUGAAGGUCUUCGGAUCGUAAAACUCUGUUAUUAGGGAAGAACAUAUGUGUAAGUAACUGUGCACAUCUUGACGGUACCUAAUCAGAAAGCCACGGCUAACUACGUGCCAGCAGCCGCGGUAAUACGUAGGUGGCAAGCGUUAUCCGGAAUUAUUGGGCGUAAAGCGCGCGUAGGCGGUUUCUUAAGUCUGAUGUGAAAGCCCACGGCUCAACCGUGGAGGGUCAUUGGAAACUGGAAAACUUGAGUGCAGAAGAGGAAAGUGGAAUUCCAUGUGUAGCGGUGAAAUGCGCAGAGAUAUGGAGGAACACCAGUGGCGAAGGCGACUUUCUGGUCUGUAACUGACGCUGAUGUGCGAAAGCGUGGGGAUCAAACAGGAUUAGAUACCCUGGUAGUCCACGCCGUAAACGAUGAGUGCUAAGUGUUAGGGGGUUUCCGCCCCUUAGUGCUGCAGCUAACGCAUUAAGCACUCCGCCUGGGGAGUACGACCGCAAGGUUGAAACUCAAAGGAAUUGACGGGGACCCGCACAAGCGGUGGAGCAUGUGGUUUAAUUCGAAGCAACGCGAAGAACCUUACCAAAUCUUGACAUCCUUUGACAACUCUAGAGAUAGAGCCUUCCCCUUCGGGGGACAAAGUGACAGGUGGUGCAUGGUUGUCGUCAGCUCGUGUCGUGAGAUGUUGGGUUAAGUCCCGCAACGAGCGCAACCCUUAAGCUUAGUUGCCAUCAUUAAGUUGGGCACUCUAAGUUGACUGCCGGUGACAAACCGGAGGAAGGUAGGGAUGACGUCAAAUCAUCAUGCCCCUUAUGAUUUGGGCUACACACGUGCUACAAUGGACAAUACAAAGGGCAGCGAAACCGCGAGGUCAAGCAAAUCCCAUAAAGUUGUUCUCAGUUCGGAUUGUAGUCUGCAACUCGACUACAUGAAGCUGGAAUCGCUAGUAAUCGUAGAUCAGCAUGCUACGGUGAAUACGUUCCCGGGUCU
rnacentral:rRNA from 1 species